GACGAACGCUGGCGGCGUGCUUAACACAUGCAAGUCGAACGGAAAGGCCCCUUCGGGGGUACUCGAGUGGCGAACGGGUGAGUAACACGUGAGUAACCUGCCCUUGACUUCGGGAUAACUUCAGGAAACUGGGGCUAAUACCGGAUAGGAAUCCUUGCUGCAUGGUGGGGGUUGGAAAGCUUCGGCGGUUUUGGAUGGACUCGCGGCUUAUCAGCUUGUUGGUGGGGUAGUGGCUUACCAAGGCUUUGACGGGUAGCCGGCCUGAGAGGGCGACCGGCCACAUUGGGACUGAGAUACGGCCCAGACUCCUACGGGAGGCAGCAGGGGGGAAUAUUGCACAAUGGGCGGAAGCCUGAUGCAGCAACGCCGCGGGCGGGAGGACGGCCUUCGGGUUGGAAACCGCUUUCAGCAGGGGCGAAGCUUGUGGUGACGGUACCUGCAGAAGAAGCACCGGCUAACUACGUG
rnacentral:rRNA from 1 species